GUGUGACUUUCUUGCUCACUCACCCACUCACUCACUGGAAAGCAAUCAUGUGGAUUGUGGACUUUCUUGCUCACUCACCCACCCACUCACUGGAAAGCAAUCAUGUGGAAUUACUUGAGAAAAAUGAUGAACUUCUUGCUACAUGUCGUUUCGCAAUAGAAAGAGUCAUCAAACGUUGGUCAACAGAGAGAAUUUCCACACACUCAUUCUGAAAUGCUCAUGAUUCACACUCAUCGGAUCCAACGUUAGCUUGGCCAUACAGAUAAAAGUGUGCGCCAAAAGAAGAACACAUAAAUAAAGCCACGGACUAAUUCAUUUUCUCCUGAGGGGUUGCUUUGAAAUCGACUCAAAGGCACCGUGUUACGGCAGACUGGGGCCACAUUUAAAGUCCCUGUGAAGUGGCUUUUUCUUUUUUGAUUGAAGGUAUUGCCUGCUGCAACUGAAUAUUGGAGUGGGACCUAACACACAAAGGAAUCAAUCAAAAGUGUACAACCAGCAGGUUAUCAGUUGCCACAUACUGCUGGGACGAACAAGUAUUCGAUCAUGUGAAAAAAAUUAUUUAGUUCUUUUGUCCAUUGCUAAUGUUGUCCAUGAUUUAAACAUUAUCGAAAAUUAAUAAGAUGUUAACACAAGACAUAAGUAAUAUUGGACAAAGGGAACUAGAAACAUGCAUCCUAUUAUUAAUUAUUUUUUCAGGAAAUUAGACACGGUAGACACCCAACAGCUCAACAGUAUUUCACACUUUAAGAUGAAUAUAUCAAUGUAUUCCAACAUGAAAGACACAGCAAGAAACCCACGUUUUAUUAGGGAAUGUCAUAUAUUGCAUUUGGUGACCUAAUCUGCAAUGAUAUGAUAAUAUGGGAGAAGAUGUAAAACACAUGGGUUUAUUUACUGCCGUUUUACAUGCCGUAACGCCCCAUAAUAGCUGAGACUUACUAAAUGUGACUGACGCGGAGCACUGCGCCGUCUGGAUCAGGAGGAAUGGGAUAAUUAAAGAAAGGAAGCUGCAUGUGAACUCUUUGUUAGUGGCAGCAGUGGGUUGUCUGUCCAACACGCACACGCGCAUAAUGGCAUGCAUCCGUGUGGAUAGGUAAUGCGCAGGUCAUGUCUACCGAAGACGAGGCUUUUAAUGGGGUUUGACCAAACACAGGAACUGCCACAGGUUUCCACUUGAAACAUCCAAUUUAAAGCCCCUAAUUAAAGACCUCACAUGGAGCCAAUUAAAACUCAAAUUAAAGGGUUCUACCUUAAAAGACAAUUGGUGCGGUGUGUGUUUGUGUGUUUUGUGUGUCGUGUGGACGAGUAGGAGGUAGAUGCUAUAAUUACUUGCCUCCACUCUCAAAGCAUAUGUAUAAUAAAAAAAUA
ensembl:lncRNA